CCUUUAUCGCCACCAAUAGAUGUUCGUCCUGCUAUGAAACGACAAGGCUAUCUAGAUGCUCCUUUAUCGCCACCAACAGAUGUUCGUCCUGCUAUGAAACGACAACGAAUUUAUUGUCAACUUCGUAGUGAAGAUUCUAGUAUGUUUGGUGAACGGAAUAACACAAUGGAGGAUGAAAACGAAGAUGAUGAGUACUAGGAACUGCACUCACACUACAAAUGUUCUAAAAUUCAGGAUAAGAGCAAGCCACCACAGUCACGACGUGAAGCACUCCAUGCUAGUAGAGUUUCUGCAUCAAUAAAGGUUUCCACAGAUAUUUUCUUAAAGAGCACAAGAUAUCCAAACAGGAAGGUUGCCUUAGGCAGAGUACUUAGCCAGGACCCCAAAACCAAAGUUGGAGAUGUUGCUUUAGGCAAAGAAUUUUGGAUGGUGCGUGUUAGUCUGGUAUCUGUGCGCGAUGAACCACUAAUAAGGCCAUAUAACAACUUCAAGGUUCUUGGACAAGUAGGCAAUAAUCCAAUUGCAUGGCCUUCAAGUUGUAUUGAAAAGGUUAACUGAUAACAUGGGAUGAAUAAUAGCACCGGGAUUGCUAAGGUAUUUAAUU